UUUAGAAAAAAAUAGUCUUUUAUUUUGAUAAACAUGUAGAUAGCAGUAACUAUAAAGGCUAGUAUACUUAAUAUGUACAUUAUAUCUUUUAAAGGAGAAUCUGGGGCAUUUCCUUGUGUUAUAUACAAUAACAGAAUCAUGGUCCCUUCAGGUUAUUGUUCUUUUGUUUUAAUACAUACAUCUUGAGUUUCUUCUGCAUCCUUGUUCUCCUUGACAUCAGCCACUCUGUCAAAUCUCUGUAUUCCUAAGUUUCUUUUCUAAGAGUUAUUUUCCUGCAGAAAUUCUCCUUUUAUCCAAAUCCUGGUCAAGCAGGUGUCAAAAGGUCUGAUGCUGUUAGUCAGGGACAUCAAUUCUCUCUUUUCACAUCUCAUUACAGAGGCCUUAAGCUCAGAUACCCACUGGUGAUAGACAGGGCAGGUCACACAUUGAGAGAAGAACUCCUUACAGUA
rnacentral:lncRNA from 1 species